rnacentral:rRNA from 1 species
UACGUAGGUGGCGAGCGUUGUCCGGAUUUACUGGGCGUAAAGGGAGCGUAGGCGGACUUUUAAGUGAGAUGUGAAAUACUCGGGCUCAACUUGAGUGCUGCAUUUCAAACUGGAAGUCUAGAGUGCAGGAGGGGAGAAUGGAAUUCCUAGUGUAGCGGUGAAAUGCGUAGAGAUUAGGAAGAACACCAGUGGCGAAGGCGAUUCUCUGGACUGUAACUGACGCUGAGGCUCGAAAGCGUGGGGAGCAAACAGG